CCGACACUCUAAUGAGCACUUUCCCACAACACUGCGAAUUCUCAUCAGAGCUGAGUUCAGAUCCAAAGAGCAGUGGAGAAAGAGUUUGGCUUCUGCUAACAGUUUUGACAUAAAGCCUUUGCUCCUGGCCCUGCUCUGCUUGGAUGCCGCCUGAGUUCCUCACCAUGCGAGAAGCUUCAGUGUGGACAGACCAGCAGGGCACCGGAGGCCCGUCAGGAGCCCCCUCUUUUCCUGCUGCCUUGGAUCGGUGCCCAAGUCAACUGGCCUUGCUGACCUCAGCGGCUUCCACGUUUUCGCUGCCGGUGGCUGGUCACCUGCUUGCAGAACCCUCAGCAGCACAUCCAUAAGGCUGGAAUCAAGACAGCCUGCUUCUGGCCCAGCACCAUGUCUGGGGCAUAGCAGGCGUGCACACACCCCGGAUCAAUGAAUGCCUCGAUCAUCUUCAGUGAUAAGGGCAAGAAAUCGCCAAGGGGUAGAGCUACGUCAUGUACAUCCUGUUUGCCGACAACUAAGCCACAGCUGGGAUGCUCGUCAGGUGCUGGUCCCUUGCUUGUUGGAUGCAGGGGGUAAAUCAGACAAGGCCACUAUAUUAGAGGGAUGUGGUAGUAUCCGGGUGUGUACAACAGAUACAAACACGAUACUAAAUUGCAAGUACAGGUGCAAUUAGCAUAAGUGCCAGAACUAACAGAUGAAGGGGAUUCAAUAAAGGGAUAGAAGAGGAUCUAAAUGAUGAGAAGAUAGCCAGGGAGGGAACCCAUAUCACCAGCUAUGGAUUCAGGACCUACCUUGCCGAGGAGGCACCACGGAAGGGAGUCACUGAAACUCUGAGGCCAUCUGUCCAUGCCCUGCCCUUGUUCCUGGACCCUGGGAAGUGGGUUCUUGGCUUUCACGUUCAUUUCUCGAGACCCAGCUCCCUUGGCCACAAGGGACCAGGCAAGGGCUGAGGCUCAUGUUCCCCUGAAGCUAGGAGCCCCCUGCUUGGGCCCCAGAGCUGCCUUUCUGAGCUGGGCUUCUCAGUGGCUCCUGGAAUCCACAAGACGCUCCAGGAUCCUGCCUGCAAAUCUCCCCUGCUGUGGAAAGUUGCUUAAAGUUGAAUUCUGUUUCUUGCCAGCAAGCACACAGAUCUAGAUGAAGUCCAAGAGGAGGGAGAACCCGUUAGCAUUUAUUUACCUCCAACCAUGUACCAAGCACUGAUCUUUCAUCCAUUAGUUUGUUUACUGCUCUGUGCAGUUGCUGUCAUUACUCUUAUUUUUAAAAUGUGAAACCAAAACUUGCUGGAUCAGAGCAAUUAAAGUUCUGCCAGGGAGGCACAGGGGAGGAACACGGCACUUGGCUCAGAAGCCAGCGUGUCCUCCUUCUUGCAUCUCCUGGUACGUGGGUGGGGAGGGCACAGAGAAUUGUUUACCAAAUGUCACAGCUCAGGAAGCACCGAUGUUAUCCUGGCUUUUGGUAGAUGUGCCU
ensembl:lncRNA